rnacentral:rRNA from 2 species
AGCGGGGGACAACAUUUGGAAACAGAUGCUAAUACCGCAUAACAACGUUGUUCGCAUGAACAACGCUUAAAAGAUGGCUUCUCGCUAUCACUUCUGGAUGGACCUGCGGUGCAUUAGCUUGUUGGUGGGGUAAUGGCCUACCAAGGCGAUGAUGCAUAGCCGAGUUGAGAGACUGAUCGGCCACAAUGGGACUGAGACACGGCCCAUACUCCUACGGGAGGCAGCAGUAGGGAAUCUUCCACAAUGGGCGCAAGCCUGAUGGAGCAACACCGCGUGAGUGAAGAAGGGUUUCGGCUCGUAAAGCUCUGUUGUUAAAGAAGAACACGUAUGAGAGUAACUGUUCAUACGUUGACGGUAUUUAACCAGAAAGUCACGGCUAACUACGUGCCAGCAGCCGCGGUAAUACGUAGGUGGCAAGCGUUAUCCGGAUUUAUUGGGCGUAAAGAGAGUGCAGGCGGUUUUCUAAGUCUGAUGUGAAAGCCUUCGGCUUAACCGGAGAAGUGCAUCGGAAACUGGAUAACUUGAGUGCAGAAGAGGGUAGUGGAACUCCAUGUGUAGCGGUGGAAUGCGUAGAUAUAUGGAAGAACACCAGUGGCGAAGGCGGCUACCUGGUCUGCAACUGACGCUGAGACUCGAAAGCAUGGGUAGCGAACAGGAUUAGAUACCCUGGUAGUCCAUGCCGUAAACGAUGAGUGCUAGGUGUUGGAGGGUUUCCGCCCUUCAGUGCCGGAGCUAACGCAUUAAGCACUCCGCCUGGGGAGUACGACCGCAAGGUUGAAACUCAAAGGAAUUGACGGGGGCCCGCACAAGCGGUGGAGCAUGUGGUUUAAUUCGAAGCUACGCGAAGAACCUUACCAGGUCUUGACAUCUUGCGCCAACCCUAGAGAUAGGGCGUUUCCUUCGGGAACGCAAUGACAGGUGGUGCAUGGUCGUCGUCAGCUCGUGUCGUGAGAUGUUGGGUUAAGUCCCGCAACGAGCGCAACCCUUGUUACUAGUUGCCAGCAUUAAGUUGGGCACUCUAGUGAGACUGCCGGUGACAAACCGGAGGAAGGUGGGGACGACGUCAGAUCAUCAUGCCCCUUAUGACCUGGGCUACACACGUGCUACAAUGGACGGUACAACGAGUCGCGAACUCGCGAGGGCAAGCAAAUCUCUUAAAACCGUUCUCAGUUCGGACUGCAGGCUGCAACUCGCCUGCACGAAGUCGGAAUCGCUAGUAAUCGCGGAUCAGCAUGCCGCGGUGAAUACGUUCCCGGGCCUUGUACA